GACGAACGCUGGCGGCGUGCUUAACACAUGCAAGUCGAACGGAGUGGCGAACGGGUGAGUAACACGUGGGUGACCUGCCCUGCACUUCGGGAUAAGCCUGGGAAACUGGGUCUAAUACCGGAUAGUGUGGGAUGGGACCGCGGCCUAUCAUCUUGUUGGUGGGGUAAUGGCCUCCCAAUGCGGCGACGGGUAGCCGGCCUGGGAGGGUGGACGGCGACAUGGGGACUGAGGGACGGCCCAGACUGCUACGGGGGGCAGCAGUGGGGAACAUUACGCAAUGGGGGGAAGCGUGAUGAGGCGGCGCCGCGUGGGGGAAGACGGCCUUGUGGUUGUAAACUCCUUUAACCAUCGACGCGGUAGAUGGAGAAGAAGCACCGGCUAACUACGUGCCAGCAGCCGCGGUAAUAC
rnacentral:rRNA from 1 species